AUUUUACUUCUCAGCUGUGUUUUUCAUUCAUAGAGACCCGCUCCUCUGAAGGCUGCACCCAAACCAAAAAAGAAAGACAAAGCAUCCAAUGUCAAAAAGGAGGAUAAAAAGACCAAGGUGAAGGCCAAGGAGAGCUCAGAGUCUGCAGGCAGCGAGGAGAACCACUCUGAAAAUUGAGAGGCCAAGACCAAAGCGGUCACACAGACUCAAAGAAACGAAGGAAGCGAAGUCUGAGUAGCACUCUUGCCUCUCAUCAACACUGUCGUCGCAGUUCCUCAUCACUCCCAGUGUUGUGUCAUUGUCAACCUCCAAGGCAUAUUGUUCACAGAGAAAUAUUUUUAUUAAUGGUUUUAUAAGCAUCAGCAUGGAUUUUUAGCACAAACUGAAGCUAAAUGCUGAGCACCUUGUAGAUUUGCAGUGAU